rnacentral:lncRNA from 1 species
AAACCUCAUCUCUAAAAAUAAACAUAGAAAAAAAAAGAAGACAGAGUGAGGAUUCGCAUUGUUCUUCAAGGCUUUUUGAGUUGCCGUGUGUUUUGUUCAAAUGUGACCCGUGCACAUAGCCACUGAGAACAAGCUUCAGACACAGGCAGAACCUCAGUUCUAAGACAAUGGUUGUCCACUCACAACAAGCCAAUCAACUUCAACAGAGAACAACAAAAUUCAGAGGCAAAAUGAUGGGGUGCUUAUGGUAAUAGAAGGGAAAAUUAAACAACAAUAAUAGUAAAUAGAAAAACAUCACACUUAUUCUCCUCAAAUAAAUUUGAUACUUCGAUUUUUGUACUUAAGAAAAAAUGGAUAUCUGGAAAAUUAUUUAAUGAACUAACGCUUUAUACACCAACAACAUGAACACCAGCUUUGUUUGUGUGUGUUGCUCUUGUGUUUCUACUGACCUCCCUGUCCCCACUCUCCUCACUCUUAAACCAGUUCUUUUCCUAAGCAAUAAAUCCUAUUACCUUAUUUACCUGCUUAAAAACUUCUAUUGGUUCCCUGUUGGGUAAAUGAGAAAAUCAAAACCCAACUUGGCAAUAGGCCCUUCCCAGGCCCCAGCUGACUUUCUCUUGGAGCUAUUACCCUCAUGUCUGCCAGGCUGGGCACUUUAUUCAUUCUGUUUUUCUCUAUGUUCUUCCUCUACAAUCAUUCUCACCUGCCCAGCUCCAUCUCAUCCUCCUAGGUAAAGCCUUUGGUGACAAACUCCCUGUCCCUGGCAGCUCCCCACCCUCUCUCCCAGCUUUCCUCGGAUCUCUGAAAUGCCAUCUAAAUGUCUGUCACUUCCCUCAGAUACAGAAAAGGUCCUAUUUCUUACUUUCUCUGAACCCCUGUAUACCCAGCAAGGAGCCCAGCACAUAGUGGGCAGUGAAUAGCUAAGAAACAAAGUUUUUCAUUCUGCAAAUCACUUUCUACCUUGUUUCCAAGAGCUUCAGGGCAGUUUUCCAUAGUCUAACUCCAAGAGGCCCCUUGUCUUCACAUGGAAAGCCCAAGAAGUAGAUAAUGAGAGUUCUCUGGGCCCACACCAAUCAUUCCUGUAGAACAAAUUGAUGGUGUUCUCAGGGAGUGACACUGUGGGACACACCCCUGGGAAGCACUUGUCGAAAACUUUCCCCAUAGGUAUGUCAAGCAAAAUGUUGGGGGAGGGUGCAAAAAUGUUUCCCUUCCUAUUCAACAGAUCAGCACAUCUUAGAAAGAGAAAAUGACAGAGGGAGAGUAGAAGAGCAGAGCAUGAAAGAGAGGGUGGCUAUCCAAGGACAGUCUCUGCUGUCUGUCAGCUCACACCUCCUGCCACUCCCUGCUACUUAGGAAAUAGUUCCAGCCAAUUUCUUGCCCUUUUCCCAUUAUUUUUUCUAUCUGGGCCUUUCCACCGCUAACCAAAAAGGAAAAGAAAAAUUUGAUUUCCACCAAAAAUCAAAAUAUGUGAUUUUACUAGGAUUAUUUAUCUAGAUAAAUAUCUCUCUUGUCAGUAUUAAUGUGUAUAUUACAUUAAGUGGUAUUUAUUUUGUACUGGCAAACAAAAAGAAUAACUCAGAGUUUCUACUCUCUCUAUAACCAGCAAUAUCCCACAAGUUAAGUCCAUUUUUCUCAGAUAGAGAAAUAUUCUCAGAAUAAACUGGCUUAUCAUUCCAAUGUUUUACAUUUAAAUUGUCUGAAGCUUCUUUUCCUUUUUUCAGCUAUUUAAUGUUCAGCAUCUGCAGAUUCUAGUUCCAGAGUUAGAUCAGCCUGGAGAGCUUCUAAUUUCUUGAACUCUCCGUUCUGACCUGAUUCCUACCCCCAGGGAAAUAUAAUGCAGCUUCUGGAAUCUUUCUAAACCACACAAGGACUGUUGUGGAAGGACAUUUCAGUCAUCAGAGUUUAUGACUCAGAGCUUUUGAGCAUCUAAGUUCCAGUAUCUGUUUUUAAACUGUCUCUUGAUCAGAGUUUAGGUCUUCUAGUUUCUCCCUAUUUUACAUUAUAGAAACUAAAUCAAAGGAUUAAUAAGACAAACAAUGCUUGCAAAUAUAAAGUGCUAUUGCAAUGUUAGAUUAUGAUAAUAGGGUAUUUUAAGGAUGACAAGAAUAAAUAUAAGGGGAGAGAAGGACUCAUGAAUUUGGGGCAGUCAUUUAGGAAUUAACCUAAUAUUUAUUUCUACUAUAUGCCAAGCAAUUUCACAUACAUUCUCCCAUUCAAUCUUUAACUCUGUGGCAUAGACAUUAUCUCCAUUUUAAAAGAGAAAACUGAAGUUCUGAGGGGUUAAAUCCCUUGCCCAAGAGUCCCACUGCUAGUGGGUGCCAUAGGAUUUGAACUUAGGUCCUUUGACUCCUGGUUCAAAAUUAUUUUCACUGCAUAACUUUUGCUGAAAAGACUAGCACAGUCCCUGGUUAGAAAUUUGUUAUCCAUUAUCUAUGACCCACUUCUAGGGCUUACUAAAAUAAAUAGUUUUAUUCUACUACAACCUCAAAAGUAUCUCAAAAAAUGAAAUUGAGAGGCUCCCCCACUUCUUAGAAUGGUUUCACUUAAGCAAGAACCAAGAAAGGUAGAAUUUGUAGAGAUGUGUAACGGCUCCCAGGAUCCUUUACAAACAGGCAUAAACCCCUACCUAAUGCAGACUACUCAAUGCUCCCUCCUUUUGGACUAAAUGGGGCCCUUUUACCGAGGAAGCGCUAAUAUGGCAUCAGGCUAUUAAUGGGAAAAGCAUUUACUUUAGAUUAAGAAGAGUGUAAAGCAGUGUGGAGGGGGGGCUCUAUGACUGGCUAUUAGGGAUGUUAAUUAAAUAUUUAUAAUGUCUAAAUUAGCAUAGCGAAAGCUCAAUUCAUCAAUUUGUUCUGGUCUGUUUGUAAGGGGGAAAAAAUAACUCCAAAUGCCCCUGAAGAAAGACACUAUGUGGGUCAAUAAGAAGAUGACUGAACAAUUUAUUAUGAUUGUGGUAAACUUUUUAUUUGAUUUUAUUUAAAGGUACUUGUUGCAGCACCUUACCUUAAAGACCAUUUACCACAGUCAAUAUACUGGAGGGCCAUGCAUUAUUCAUUGUUAUCCAAUGAAAAAUUUUCUAAGGUGCUUCAAUGCUGAAUGCCUGAUUGAUUAAUUGAUUGCUUGAUAGUUACUUCCAAAAAGUAAGGACUAGAUUUAAUGUUUAGAACCAGGCGCUGGAAGCUAGAAGCUCUGAGUUCUUCCUCUAUUGCUAACUAGCCUGCUGAAGGACUUAGAUUUCCAAGCCUUAAAAUGAUAUCUUGCUAAUAUAGCUGUUUUUAGGCUUCCUGGUUAAUAAUUAAGAGGACUAGUUGGAUCUUCCACUGAAAACUGCUAAGUGUGCGGCUGCUUCUCCUCAGAUUGGGGUGGAAAAGCCAAGCAUAUUAAUACCUAAAUACCCACAGCCUGUGGGCAUUAUGUACAUGCUUAAUGAAUGUACUUUAUGAAUUCCAUUAGUUACAAUUACUUUUACCUCAUUUUAUUAUAGGAACGUCUCAAAAGGGAAAAGCCAACUGUCUAACUUAUUUUCAACUGUAAAUGAGACUGGCUGCAAUGGAGACUUCAUCACCAGCACAUAAAUGGAGUUGUCUAUAGCUAGCAGAGUCUCAUCACCACUCACACACAUUUGGGUAAACACAGUUAUGGGCGAAAAGUCUGGAAUAUUUUACAGACUCUCUCCACACUGGCCCAGCAGUUUCACAGUCAUAUUUAAUAAAUGCACUCCUUUCCCCAAAACUAAAAAUAUUAAAACUUUCUGAGGACUUUUCGUUUGUUUUGGCUAUAAUUAACAUUUUUCUAAUUUGCGGGUAUUUUGUCUGCUAUUCCUAUGAAGAAGUGAGCACAAAAAACAUUUUGAACCUUCUUCAUAUGGGUGCAUCUAAGUUCCCUCUCUUACUUUCCCCCUUUGGACAAUCUGGCCUUCUCUAGAGGGAGGGCUGGCGUGAAAGGGUUAAAGGUUCUCUGGUCAAAAUAGCCCAACAGAAGGAGCUGGGCCCAGAGCUGAAAUCUAAGUGCUAAUGACCGUUGCCCUUCACCCUACUGCUGUCCACUGGCCGGACCUGCGGCCGGGUGGGGCCCCGGACUGGGAGAGGGCACAAUAUUCUGCAUUUAACAUUUGAACUUCUCCUAUCCGAGGCAGCAGGCCGUUUUGUCCUGGGGUCGCUGACCCUGGCUCCCCCAUCAGCUGCCCUGAAACCUUAAUUGAAUGACAGAUGGUCAUUUUCGGGGGCGCCAGAAGCUGCGGGCGGCCAGCGGCGCGGGGACUGCGGCCCCAGGCCCCGGCAGUCCUGCCCGGACUCUGCCAGCAAGGGGCGGGCGGCAGAGGUAGCAGGCGGCUUGCGGAGCUGGCCUAGCCUGCGGGCGCGACGGGAUCUGCGGGCGUCGGGCGAACGCGUGGCAACGAGCACCUGGAGGAAACCCCGGCCUGGGAGCUGUUUAUUUAUGGCUGCAAAUGUGUGUGUUCAAGAGAGAGAGGGAAUUGAUCUUUGCCUGGACUUAAAGAUGGAGCCGAAGAAGCUGGAGGGAAUUUGGGCUUGUGCGUCUGGCCCAGACCCUGUGCGCCGAGCCCGAGGUCUAUCCUCCCCGCACCUCUCACCUCGCGACCUUGCAGGAAUCCGCGGGCCCGGAUGCUGCCCAGCUGACCCUCCUGCCCCGGGCCUGGCUGCAGAGAAAGUCUUCGGGCAGGAGGCCAUCCUGUUCCUGUCUUUAAAAUGAGCACAAUAAAAGGGGGCAAAUCCUCGAACGCGAACCUGAUCUCAUGUCACAGAAGCAACUUGCCAUGAAAUCCGCUAAUGCGCUGCGACUCGCCCACCAGGGCAGCGUGCGGCGGCCGAACUGCACCUGCGUUUGUGAGCCUUGUAGAAAUGGAGCCCACCGGAUUCCCUCACCCGGAGAAAUGCCCAAACUGAAACUUGACUACACUUCCCUGGGCUGGUUCACGGUUUCAUAAUCUCCCAGGUUUGCUGGCUGUGUCACCAAAUCCAAGCCAAACCUGCUAUAAACAUGAUCACAGGCCACUGACCUCGCAGCACUGACCGAUAACUCGGUGGCAAAAUCAGCUCCUCUGGUCAGAGGUUAUUAAAGCAGCGGCUGAAUUCGUGUUUGUUUUUUUGAAGUGGUCAGAAAAACGUAGUCUUCUUAAACCUACAAAAACAGUCAAACACAUUUGCAAAUGUGCUUUACUUGUAUUGGUUCGAGUGCUGGAAGCUGUCUGGCGGUGAGCUUUUUCGUUGCGUGUGGUUUAUGCAGAGCACCCGGGAUGUUUUUCUCGUCUUUUACGUCUUGGUAUCUUUUAAAAAUGUAGAAUGUGUCUCUGAUUGUUUCACAGUAUGUUCCUUAACAACCAGAUAUGUAAGAAAACGUUUGGGAUUGAGUGGUGAGAAAAGCAGACUGGAAAGUACAAAUAAACCCAAUCCAAAUGGAAAACAAAUUAAACAGAUGAAAUGAUUAUGAAAGAAGAUGGGGGAAUUAACUUGUCUGGAAAAAAUCGAGUUUAGGGUCUGAACUUUACAGAUUAAAUGGCAACACAGAACAAAUCCAAAGGAAUUAAAUCUAUUCUUUUGCCCUCCUAGGCAUCUGGGUCAGAUGCACAUUUUGAGGCAUUUCAACAGACAGAUCAGCUCUGGGACACUUGCACACUUUUUUGGUAAACUGCAACCUAUUACGUGACCUUUAAUCCUGGUGGAAAACAAUUUAAAAUGUAUUCCUGGCUUUAGGAAACAAAAGAAAAAUUUUAAACCCUGGCAGUUAAAUUAUUACUGGUCUCUACAGGGUUAAUUUAAUGUAAAUAAUCUACUCUCCUGAGGGAAAAGGUGGAGGCCUGGCAUUCUGGAAGGGCCAGUCAGGUGGUGACAAAACUGUGUGCCUUGGGGUUUUGAGGGGUGUGUUGGGUGGCUCUGAACCUGGCUUUGGGUUUGUUACAUCUCUCGCUCUCUUAAAACAGUAACUCAAGAUGUAAGUAAAAGUGUUUUCAUUUUUUAUUGAUCCUGCUAACAUCUUUCAUUAUCCAGCAUGUAGCCACAGCAAAUUAUUGCUCAUUUGAUACUGAGAAUUCUAUUGACCAUCGCUUUCGUUGGAGAGAGAAUUCUAACUACUCGGCUGCUCUGUCAUCAGUCAGAGCUAAGGCUGAGGACUUUCCACCACUAAAACCAAAAUAAAUUGAGCCUUCUGCCUCCAGAAAUUGAUAGAGAUGUGUUCAUUACAUUGGGCCACAUGAGCAUGCAUAGAAAUCUGCUUUUUACUCUCCCAGCCUUGCCCCCACUCAGGCAAUAGGUCGGCCCCUUUGGAACAGAACUGUCUAUUUGAAGGGCUGGGCAUUCGUUUGCUUUUCCUGUAUCCCUUCUGGCAACUUCUUUCCAGCUGUGGCCAGGUUGGGGCAAUGAAAUGAUGCAAUGGGAGACUCCUCCUCAGUCCUGUGGUCAAAGCCACCUUGACUUGCUUAAGCUUAGAGAAAUCAUUAAAAUCUCAAAAACAAAAACAAACAAAAAACCUCCUAAAAUGUCCAGAUAGGUCACUUUAUGGUCUGGAUAUAAUUUCCUAAAUUAAACUGCUCCACCCCCAUCAAGACCCCACAUAAUCAAAGAGCAGAGCGGCUAAGUUGGGAAGCGAAGGUUAAGCUCUGGGGUAUGCGCCUGUUCACUCUGGAAAUGGGCGUCCAGCGGGAAUGAUAGGCCUGGGCGACUCGUGCACUCACACCAGCCCAAGCGGAAAGGAAGUCUGGGCCUAGAGAAGGCCUGACCUUUGACCCUUGGCCCGGCAGCUCCGGGGUGCUAGAGUCUGCAGAGGGAGGCGGGUUGGGAGACGAGGCUAGACAGGGGCCCGCAGGGCAAUAGGAAAGGCUGGGUUUGUUCCCCAGGAAGCUAGUGGAGUAAUCUACCUUGACGCAGAAAGGAGCUGGAGCUGCCCCACAGCAGGGGCCACCCGACGCCCGACCCUCUGGCUGCCUUCACCAUCCCAGAGGCGGGCAGGUCAGGCCUGUCUGUUGGGAUCCAGGCUCCCUUGCCACUUCCCUUCCAGCAUCUGGGGAAAAGACGCCCUGACUCAAGGGUGUUCUGGCCCCGCACGACGGGGGGCGAAGAGAGACAAAAGUCGAGCCUAACAGCAGGCGGCUGCUGAGCUGGCGGGUCUUGGGCCACUGCUAGUCCAGCGUUGGCGUCCAGCGGGGCCUGUCACCUUUACAAGUAACAAGGGACCAUAUCCGCUUCUCCUUAAGCCCUGGACCCCAAGGGGAGGCCAGGACGACCUUGCAGGAGCCAUGCCCCCUGGGGAUUCUAUGGAGGAGAUUGUUUGGUUGGGUUUCAUUUGCAUCAAUACCAGGAGAUGAACCCUCUGGGUUUGGCUUCAGAACAAACGGAGGACCAAUUAACGCCUGUACAAAUUAGUCCCUGGCGUGUGCAACCCGCCAAACAACGCCAGUUCCAAAUCGGAAGGCACGUUUAGGGACUCUCAGGGACCCGGCUUGGUAGUUAUUUUUCCAAUGGUGCUGUUAAGUGUGAGUGAAGCUAUUUGCACUCUCGCGGGCCUCGCUCCAAGACCCCUGGCACGAUGGGGAGCCACUUUGUUCCGGAGGAAGGCAGCGGAUGAAUAGGAACCCUGGCUGCGCACAUGGACCCUAACCCAAGAGCAGCAGCAGCAGCAGCAGCGGAAAGACACGGGUAGUCUGAUUCGGCUUGGGGAACGGAAGGGGAGUGUAAGAUGAGAUACACACCGGAUUUUUUUAGUUUUUCCUUUUUUGUUUUUAACGUAGAUAAAUAACCCCAUCGUCCGUGUAAUCAGCACGUUCCCAAUGAAGUCGUUUUCCUAGAAUGCGCUCUCCGCCUGCCACACUUGAGGAAUCCAGCCCACAGAGGUUUCGGAAACCCAGUUUGAGUGAUUCCAGCCUAGACUGAAACCCUGAGAGCCUCCCAGGAAAGAGAGCCCGGCCUGGGCCAAGCAGUCGGACACACACACACACACACACACACACACACACACACACACACACACACACACGGACUGCGUAGCUCUUCGCAGGAUCGAAGGCUGGAUGCGGAUCUGGGAGGCGGUGGCUAAGCGAACCAGGAAGACUGUGACGGAAACCAAUACAGCAGUGUCAUCUUGAAAGUUAUUUGGAAGAACAGGACCUGGAGUCUGGGUUUGAAUCAAAAAAUUGUGAGCAAGGGACAGAUCACCCUGUAUUUCUCUGGAACGAGGCAGAACUGAGACCUGCUCAGCUGAACCAGCGUGGCCACAUAUUGGGGACUAGGAAAUUGUUCUCAGACACUGUAGCACACACAUCCUCUGACAGCGAGCUCACUCCUGCGCAGUGGGCUUCUGGUUCUGCCACUGCACUCCACAAACGCCCUACAGGCCUCCUCCAGGUUUUGCCAGGCAAAUGAAACGAGCACAACUCGAUAGUAAAUUAUUUUGUUCAGCCUUCUCUCUUUUUAUGAAAAUAAGAGGCAACACUUUGUCAUUUUUAAUCACAUAAGCAGACAAUAAAUCUAAUUUUGAUAUUGA